CAAUAGCGUAUAUUAAAGUUGUUGCAGUUAAAAAGCUCGUAGUUGGAUUUCUGGUUGAAGCGACCGGUCGGGCGUUGAUUCGUCUGCACUGGAGUCGGUUUUGGCCAUCCUCUAGGAAAGUGCGUCUGGUAUUAAGUUAUCGGGCGUAUGAUCCUGGUCUUUUACUGUGAAAAAAUUAGAGUGUUUAAAGCAGGCCUUCGCCUUGAAUACAUUAGCAUGGAAUAAUAAGAUAGGACUUUGGUCUAUUUUGUUGGUUUGCAGACCGAAGUAAUGAUUAAUAGGGAUAGUUGGGGGUAUUUAUAUUCCGAUGUCAGAGGUGAAAUUCUUAGAUUUUCGGAAGAUAAACUUAUGCGAAAGCAUAUACCAAGGAUGUUUUCAUUAA
rnacentral:rRNA from 1 species